UAGGGAAUCUUUCACAAUGGGCGAAAGCCUGAUGGAGCAACGCCGCGUGCAGGAUGAAGGCCUUGGGUUGUAAACUGCUUUUAUAAGCGAGAAAUAUGAUGGUAACUUAUGAAUAAGGAUCGGCUAACUACGUGCC
rnacentral:rRNA from 1 species